rnacentral:rRNA from 1 species
GACAGAGGGUGCAAACGUUGCUCGGAAUUACUGGGCGUAAAGGGCGUGUAGGCGGGAAGGCAAGUCGGGCGUGAAGCCCAGGCUCAAACCUGGGAACUGCACUCGAAACUGCCUUUCUUGAGUGCCGGAGAGGAAAGCGGAAUUCCUGGUGUAGAGGUGAAAUUCGUAGAUAAUCAGGAGGAACACCAGUGGCGAAAGGCGGCUUUCUGGACGGUAACUGACGCUGAGACGCGAAAGCGUGGGAGCAAACAGG